rnacentral:rRNA from 1 species
AUAUCUAAGGUUUCCAGAGUAAAGCUGAUCUGCUCUGGGUAAGUCGGGGCCUAAGGAGAGGUCGCAAGACGUAUCCGAUGGACAACAGGUUUAGAUUCCUGUACCGCAUAUAAACAGAACUGUGGGGACGCAUGUGGAAAGCAUAAGCCGGGAAUGGAAAGACCGGUACAAGCGAGGUAGGUGUGUGACAGGCAAAUCCGUCACAUAAGCCGAAGACGUGAUGUGGAGCGAAAUUAAGUAGUGAAGUAUGUGAGCCAUGUGCCGAGAAAAGCCGCUAUUGUUUUAUAUGUGCCCGUACCGUAAACCGACACAGGUGGAUGAGGAGAGAAUCCUAAGGCCGACGGAAGAAGCAUUGUUAAGGAAUUCGGCAAAAUGACCCCGUAACUUCGGGAGAAGGGGUGCCUGCGAGAGCAGGCCGCAGAGAAUAGGCUCAAGCAACUGUUUAGCAAAAACACAGGUCUAUGCGAAACCGAAAGGUGAAGUAUAUGGGCUGACGCCUGCCCGGUGCUGGAAGGUUAAGAGGAGAGGUUAGCGCAAGCGAAGCUUUGAAUUUAAGCCCCAGUAAACGGCGGCCGUAACUAUAACGGUCCUAAGGUAGCGAAAUUCCUUGUCGGGUAAGUUCCGACCCGCACGAAAGGCGUAAUGAUUUGAGCGCUGUCUCGACAAUGCAUCCGGUGAAAUUGAAGUACCAGUGAAGAUGCUGGUUACCCGCGCCAGGACGGAAAGACCCCAUGGAGCUUUACUCCAGUUUGAUACUGGGAUUCGGUACUGCACGUACAGGAUAGGUGGGAGACUGAGAACUAUGGACGCCAGUCUGUAGGGAGUCGCUGUUGGGAUACCACCCCUGUAGUACUGGGUUUCUAACCAUCUGCCGUGAUCCGGCAGUGGGACAAUGUCAGGCGGGGAGUUUGACUGGGGCGGUCGCCUCCGAAAGGGUAUCGGAGGCGCUCAAAGGUUCCCUCAGAAUGGUCGGAAACCAUUUGAAGAGUGCAAAGGCAGAAGGGAGCUUGACUGCGACACCGACGGGUGGAGCAGGU